rnacentral:tRNA from 1 species
GCUGAUAUGGCUCAGUACGCAUCUCACACCCCCGGUAAGCGUGCGCUCCCCAGUUCGACUCUGGGUAUCAGCACCA